rnacentral:rRNA from 1 species
AUUGAACGCUGGCGGCAGGCCUAACACAUGCAAGUCGAGCGGAAACGAGUUAUCUGAACCUUUCGGGGAACGAUAACGGCGUCGAGCGGCGGACGGGUGAGUAAUGCCUAGGAAAUUGCCCUGAUGUGGGGGAUAACCAUUGGAAACGAUGGCUAAUACCGCAUGAUGCCUACGGGCCAAAGAGGGGGACCUUCGGGCCUCUCGCGUCAGGAUAUGCCUAGGUGGGAUUAGCUAGUUGGUGAGGUAAGGGCUCACCAAGGCGACGAUCCCUAGCUGGUCUGAGAGGAUGAUCAGCCACACUGGAACUGAGACACGGUCCAGACUCCUACGGGAGGCAGCAGUGGGGAAUAUUGCACAAUGGGCGCAAGCCUGAUGCAGCCAUGCCGCGUGUAUGAAGAAGGCCUUCGGGUUGUAAAGUACUUUCAGUCGUGAGGAAGGUAGUGUAGUUAAUAGCUGCAUUAUUUGACGUUAGCGACAGAAGAAGCACCGGCUAACUCCGUGCCAGCAGCCGCGGUAAUACGGAGGGUGCGAGCGUUAAUCGGAAUUACUGGGCGUAAAGCGCAUGCAGGUGGUUUGUUAAGUCAGAUGUGAAAGCCCGGGGCUCAACCUCGGAAUAGCAUUUGAAACUGGCAGACUAGAGUACUGUAGAGGGGGGUAGAAUUUCAGGUGUAGCGGUGAAAUGCGUAGAGAUCUGAAGGAAUACCGGUGGCGAAGGCGGCCCCCUGGACAGAUACUGACACUCAGAUGCGAAAGCGUGGGGAGCAAACAGG